CUUUAUUGCCAGCUGUUGUCCUGUGAAGCUGGUGCUGCUCCGUGGUCAGUCUCACCGGGAAAGAUGUACUGAGGUUCCACCAACCACAACCCUCCCUCGUGUGCUAGAUAGGUUUGAUUACUCUUCUACCCAGUGAGAAAGACAUUCAACUCCAGUGCACACUGAAGAAGAGGGAGAGUGAAAGCUUAAUACGGUGAGGCAAAGGUCGAAUGAAAGAAGAGAGGAGUGGACUGAAUUCCAGAUUUUGAACUAAAAACAUUCUUGGAAAGUUGGUGUUGCUGUCCUGAGGUUGUUGGGGACUUGUUACUGCAGAAAGCCUCAGGACCAG